rnacentral:rRNA from 1 species
ACGACGCUGGCGGCGUGCCUAAUACAUGCAAGUCGAGCGAAACAGAAGGGAGCUUGCUCCCGGAUGUUAGCGGCGGACGGGUGAGUAACACGUGGGUAACCUGCCUGUAAGACUGGGAUAACUCCGGGAAACCGGAGCUAAUACCGGAUAGUUCCUUGAACCGCAUGGUUCAAGGAUGAAAGACGGUUUCGGCUGUCACUUACAGAUGGACCCGCGGCGCAUUAGCUAGUUGGUGGGGUAAUGGCUCACCAAGGCGACGAUGCGUAGCCGACCUGAGAGGGUGAUCGGCCACACUGGGACUGAGACACGGCCCAGACUCCUACGGGAGGCAGCAGUAGGGAAUCUUCCGCAAUGGACGAAAGUCUGACGGAGC